rnacentral:rRNA from 1 species
UUUGAUCCUGGCUCAGAUUGAACGCUGGCGGCAGGCCUAACACAUGCAAGUCGAGCGGCAGCGGAAAGUAGCUUGCUAUAACAUCCUUAGUGGCGCACGGGUGAGUAACGCGUGAGCAACCUGCCCAUAAGUUGGGGAUAGCCCUGGGAAACCGGGAUUAAUACCGAAUGUGGUAGCAAUACUAAAGCAGUAAUGCGCUUAUGGAGGGGCUCGCGUCCUAUUAGUUAGUUGGUGAGGUAACGGCUCACCAAGGCGAUGACGGGUAGCCGGUCUGAGAGGAUGUCCGGCCACACUGGAACUGAGACACGGUCCAGACACCUACGGGUGGCAGCAGUCGAGAAUCAUUCACAAUGGGGGCAACCCUGAUGGUGCGACGCCGCGUGGGGGAAGAAGGUCUUCGGAUUGUAAACCCCUGUCAUGUGGGAGCAAGCAGCAAUGUUGAUAGUACCACAAGAGGAAGAGACGGCUAACUCUGUGCCAGCAGCCGCGGUAAUACAGAGGUCUCAAGCGUUGUUCGGAAUCACUGGGCGUAAAGAGUACGUAGGCUGUCAUGUAAGUCAGGAGUGAAAGGCAGGGGCUCAACCCCUGGACUGCUUUUGAUACUGCGUGACUGGAGUAAUGGAGGGGGAACCGGAAUUCUCGGUGUAGCAGUGAAAUGCGUAGAUAUCGAGAGGAAGACUCGUGGCGAAGGCGGGUUCCUGGACAUUAACUGACGCUGAGGUACGAAGGCCAGGGUAGCGAAAGGGAUUAGAUACCCCUGUAGUCCUGGCAGUAAACGGUGCACGCUUGGUGUGUGAGGGAUCGACCCCUUACGUGCCGGAGCUAACGCGUUAAGCGUGCCGCCUGGGGAGUACGGUCGCAAGAUUAAAACUCAAAUGAAUUGACGGGGGCCCGCACAAGCGGUGGAGCAUGUGGUUUAAUUCGAUGCAACGCGAAGAACCUUACCUACUCUUGACAUCCAGAGAAUUUGCUAGAGAUAGCUUAGUGCCUUCGGGAACUCUGAGACAGGUGCUGCAUGGCUGUCGUCAGCUCGUGUUGUGAAAUGUUGGGUUAAGACCCGCAACGAGCGCAACCCUUAUCCUUUGUUGCCAGCACGUAAUGGUGGGAACUCAAAGGAGACUGCCGGUGAUAAACCGGAGGAAGGUGSGGAUGACGUCAAGUCAUCAUGGCCCUUACGAGUAGGGCUACACACGUGCUACAAUGGCAUAUACAAAGAGAAGCGAACUCGCGAGAGCAAGCGGACCUCAUAAAGUAUGUCGUAGUCCGGAUUGGAGUCUGCAACUCGACUCCAUGAAGUCGGAAUCGCUAGUAAUCGUAGAUCAGAAUGCUACGGUGAAUACGUUCCCGGGCCUUGUACACACCGCCCGUCACACCAUGGGAGUGGGUUGCUCCAGAGGUAGCUAGGCUAACCUCGUGAGGCCGGUUACCACGGAGUGAUUCAUGACUGGGGUGAAGUCGUAACAAGGUAACCA